ACUUGAGGUCCGACGCAUGGUUUUGCUCGAGUCAUUCGCUGUCGACCUGUCAUAUAUUGCGUUGCAAAGAUAGCUCGAUUUCACUAUCAAGCUAAUACUGGUAAUGGGAGUGUUAACUUUACUCCUUCAAUUGAGAAAGUAGACACUUCCCAAAUACACCUGAAAACUCGGGGGCAUAUAUCUCUCGGUUUCAGUCCUAGUGGAGAGCAAUACCAAUUCAAGUUAUCUGCUUUCUACAUUUGUGAGGAAGUGACAAGUGAGAAAACGCCGGCAGCUGUUGCUGGCCUUAAAACUUCCAAAUACCGCAGAAACAGAGUGCACUUCGUACUAUCACGCCACGGGUGGUCUGCGUUUCGAAUUCUUGAUUUUCACUGGACAAAGAACUAAGAAGAAGAAAAUAAAUCAAAUGAAAACUUAGUGUAAACGAGUCGGGAAUUCGGACAUUAAUUCUCAAUUGUCCGAGGCCGUCUAGCAAAGCAAAAGAGCAUCUUUAUGGCGGAUUUUACUUCCCGUUUUUGGACAUUUAUCAUGAACUUAUGGGCUACCAUAACGCCAACGUGGCAAGUUAUCGACCAACUUAACUCUUUUUCACGCCAUUCUGUGGAAGAAUUCGCCUGGAACUCUUCGGAUUGGCCUUCCCCACUAGGGCUGACGAUGUAUUUCAAAGU
rnacentral:sRNA from 2 species